GAUGAAGAACGUAGCGAAAUGCGAUAAGUAAUGUGAAUUGCAGAAUUCAGUGAAUCAUCGAAUCUUUGAACGCACAUUGCGCCCCUUGGUAUUCCGAGGGGCAUGCCUGUUCGAGCGUCAUUAUAACCCCUCAAGCUCAGCUUGGUGUUGGGGCCUGCUGCACUGGCAGCCCUUAAAAUCAGUGGCGGCGCCAUCCGGCUCUAAGCGUAGUAAUUCUUCUCGCUAUGGAGUCCUGGUGGAUGCUUGCCAUCAACCCCCAAUUUUUCUAUGGUUGACCUCGGAUCAGGUAGGGAUACCCGCUGAACUUAAGCAUAUCAAUAAGCGGAGGA
rnacentral:misc_RNA from 1 species